rnacentral:rRNA from 1 species
AGCAGCCGCGGUAAUUCCAGCUCCAAUAGCGUAUAUUAAAGUUGUUGCAGUUAAAAAGCUCGUAGUUGAAUUUCGGGGUUAGUAGGUCGGUCGUGCCACUGGUAUGUACUGGUCUCACUGAUUCCUCCUUCCUGAUGAACCGUAAUGCCAUUAAUUUGGUGUUGCGGGGAGACUGGACUGUUACUUUGAAAAAAUUAGAGUGUUUAAAGCAGGCUCGCGCUUGAAUACAUUAGCAUGGAAUAAUGAAAUAGGACGGUUGAUUCUAUUUUGUUGGUUUCUAGGAUCGACGUAAUGAUUAAUAGGGAUAGUUGGGGGCAUUAGUAUUCAAUUGUCAGAGGUGAAAUUCUUGGAUUUAUUGAAGACUAACUACUGCGAAAGCAUUUGCCAAGGAUGUUUUCAUUAAUCAAGAACGAAAGUUAGGGGAUCGAAGACGAUCAGAUACCGUCGUAGUCUUAACCAUAAACUAUGCCGACUAGGGAUCGGAUGAUGUUAUUUUUGAUGACUCAUUCGGCGCCUUACG